rnacentral:rRNA from 1 species
GACGAACGCUGGCGGUAUGCUUAACACAUGCAAGUCNAACGAGAAGUCUUUUAUUGAACCUUCGGGGGAUAUAAGAGACAGACAGUGGCGAACGGGUGAGUAACGCGUGGGNAACCUACCUAUCGGAGCGGGAUAGCCUCGAGAAAUCGGGAGUAAAACCGCAUAACACGGAUAUAUCGCAUGAUGAAUCCGUCAAAACUCCGGUGCCGAUAGAUGGGCCCGCGUCUGAUUAGCUAGUUGGUAAGGUAAGGGCUUACCAAGGCAACGAUCAGUAGCCGGUCUGAGAGGGCGAACGGCCACACUGGAACUGAGACACGGUCCAGACUCCUACGGGAGGCAGCAGUGGGGAAUAUUGCGCAAUGGGGGCAACCCUGACGCAGCAAUACCGCGUGAGUGAAGAAGGUUUUCGGAUCGUAAAGCUCUGUUAUUGGGGAAGAAGCAGUGACGGUACCCAAUGAGGAAGUCCCGGCUAACUACGUGCCAGCAGCCGCGGUAAUACGUAGGGGACGAGCGUUGCCCGGAAUCACUGGGCGUAAAGGGCGCGUAGGCGGUUUUAUAAGUCAGAUGUGAAAGGUACCGGCUCAACCGGUGACGUGCAUUUGAAACUGUAAGACUUGAGUACUGAAGAGGCAAGCGGAAUUCCUAGUGUAGCGGUGAAAUGCGUAGAUAUUAGGAAGAACACCGGUGGCGAAGGCGGCUUGCUGGGCAGAUACUGACGCUGAGGUGCGAAAGCGUGGGGAGCGAACAGG